rnacentral:tRNA from 1 species
UCUCCCAUAGCUCAGCUGGUAGAGCGCACGACUGUUAAUCGUAAGGUCAUGGGUUCAAUCCCCAUUGGGAGAG